CGGCCCGCCGCGGGCCGGCAUACGCGGCUCCGGCCAUGGGCCGGAUGGGAAAGG
rfam:Oscillibacter sp. CAG:241 genomic scaffold, scf180